UUGAUAUUGGACUUUGCUUCCAUAUAGAAUGAAUUUCUCAACAUUAACUCACUGCGGCUUUGAGUAGUUUAUAGUGAGUCAGCAAGAGUUUAAAUGGGAGAGUGUGAACCGAUGACAUGUUCCUGUUGAAAGGCAGCUCUGACACGGACCAGAUCUCUGCCUGCUUCAGCCCUGAAAUCUCUAUCUUUGCUUGUCGUGUAGCAAAGACUUUUUCUUGCCUGAAUGUUUUCCUCCCAACGGUGAAGUGAGCCUGGAGGCAUUGUCAUGCCAUCGCCUUUCAUCUACUGAAACUCACAUUUCAGCACAUAAAAUUAUCAUGCAUCUAGCAUCUCACCCAGACACUGAAAAAUGAUGAAUCCACAGAACCCUGACACUGGAAAGGAAGCGUAAGCAGCAGCCAGAACCUGAGAGGAGACAUCAUUAAGUGAAGAUCUCAUGGAGCUCAGCUGAAAAUCCCUGUCGGGAGCAGUCACAGCUUUGCCCCCUGGCAGGGAAGAUCUUACUGGUGACUGAGAGAAGCCUCUGCCUACUCCCUGGUUCAAGAAUUCAAGACGGUUGCCAGCUAGAGCACAGGACAGGUAUUCUCCUCCUCUGAAGGUUAAAAAUAAAAGGGUAAACAAUACAAUGGGGGGAAAAGGA
rnacentral:lncRNA from 1 species